CUCCGGAAGGGUAAGCAGAUCCUGCUCCACAUGUGGCACGCGUCGUGUUGCUUAUGUGAUUACAAAUCCGGUAAAUAGUCUAAUUCGGUAGGUCAUUCAUGAAAGGGAAGGGGAUUGUAGUUACGACGUAAGGAACAUAUCCGAUAUCAUUUGUGAAACGGUUAUUCCAUAACGGUCAACCAACCCGUGAUGGCGUCCGUAAAAUUUAGGAAGGGAUGAU
rnacentral:lncRNA from 1 species